rnacentral:rRNA from 1 species
CCCUAUUAUAAUUAGUAUAAUUUUAAUUUUGAGUAGUAUAUAUUUUGGACAGGAAACUUAAAGAAUUUGGCGGUGUAUAUUAUAAUUAGAGGAAUAUGUUUUUUAAUUGAUAAUCCACAUGAAUCUUACUUAAAUUGUUUAUUUUGUAUAUCUCCGUCUUAAAAAAAUUUUUGAAAAUAUUUUUUAUUUUUUGUAUUUCAAAAUAAGUCAGGUCAAGAUGCAGAUUUAUAUUUAAGUUAAAAUGUAUUACAAUAAAUUUAUUUUUGGUUUAAAAAUUAAAUAUUUUUAUUAAAUUGGAUUUAUAAGUAAAUUAUUUUUUAUAAUAACUAUUUGAAUUAUAUAAAUAUACAUGUACACAUC